rnacentral:tmRNA from 1 species
GGGGGCGUUUUUGGAUUCGACGGGGAUAGUUCGAGCAUGAGUAGCGGGUAGUGGGGCUGCGUCCACUUCAACAACGCGAACGCCAAUUUAACUGGCAAACAACAACCAAAACUCGCUUUCGCAGCUUAAUAACCUGUGAUGCGGCUUCUACCCUGCAUCGCCCAUGUGCCGGGAUAGGGGCUCAACCUUAGUGGGAUACGCUGUCUAGUCUCCGCCUGGGGCUAGCUGAAGAAGACAAUCAGGCUGACCUGAAGAGUAGCCGGUGACGGGGCGACUCUAGGGUGACAUCAAAUCUGUCACUACACCCGUAGAAGCUGGUGUGGCGUUAUCUUCGGACAGGGGUUCGACUCCCCUCGCCUCCAUUA